AUUGAACGCUGGCGGCAGGCCUAACACAUGCAAGUCGAACGAGUGGCGGACGGGUGAGUAAUGUCGGGGAAACUGCCUGAUGGAGGGGGAUAACUACUGGAAACGGUAGCUAAUACCGCUAACCAUCAGAUGUGCCCAGAUGGGAUUAGCUUGUUGGUGGGGUAACGGCUCACCAAGGCGAAGAUGCCUAGCUGGUCUGAGAGGAUGACCAGCAACACUGGAACGUAGACACGGUCCAGACUCCGACGGUAGGCAGCAGUGGGGAAUAUUGCACAAUGGGCGCAAGCCUGAUGCAGCCAUGCCGCGUGUAUGAAGAAGGCCUUCGGGUUGUAAAGUACGUGCAGCGGGGAGGCGUUACCCGCAGAAGAAGCCCCGGCUAACUCCGUGCCAGCAGCCGCGGUAAUAC
rnacentral:rRNA from 1 species